ensembl:misc_RNA
UUGCCCAUCGGGGCCUCGGAUACCUGCUUUAAUUUUU